ensembl:lncRNA
GCCUCCCCGGCUCUACUCACCCAUUUUUUCUGCAAUCCAUGAAGAGGCCAUCUCUGUCUCUCUGUCUCUGUCUGUCUCUCUGUGUGUCUCUCUGUCUCUGUCUGUCUCUCUGUCUCUCUGUCUCUGUCUGUCUCUCUGUCUCUGUCUGUCUCUCUGUGUGUCUCUCUGUCUCUGUCUGUCUCUCUGUCUCUCUGUCUCUCUGUCACUCUGUCUCUCUCUCUCUCUGUCUGUAACUCUGUGUCUCUCUGUCUGUCUCUGUCUCUGUCUGUCUCUCAGUGUCGUUCUGUCGUCCUCAUUGGGUCCAUUUGCAGGUGUGACUGAAGCUUUGUCUCUUUAGGCCGACGCCCUCUCUCCGGUGUCCCUCCUCUUCUCGUCGCCGCGGGUUACGGGUCGUCGGACGGGACCGACUGGUUCCUUCACCUGAAUGAAGCGUUCCGUGUCUUCAGGGGGAAUGAAGCCGCUGUGGAGAGAAACAAAGGAGACAACGAAAACACGAGUCAUCUGAGCUGGAAUGUCCAGAACGGAGCCAACGGGCGUCAUUAUCUCGACACAAUGUGACAUGCUGUGUCCUCUACGCUGAUCCCUGCGAUGUGAAGCAACGUGAGUGGACAUGAAUAUGAAAGCUCCCUUCAAAGCCACUGGGCGCCAAAUCUAAAGGACAGGAUUAAUAUCCUGGCUGGUGAAGACACUUCCAACACCGAGGCACCGGAUCCGUGACCCACAGGGCCGCUCGUCUCCGGGUGACUGAGAUCUCUUCAUUUCACGCAGCGACACACCAGUAAAGUUCAGGUCAACGUUGGUAAAACACAGUAAAGAAAACACAAACGUCUCCGUCGGCUCUGCAGCUCGUACAAAACAUGUAGUCCAAAAGUUUUAUUGUGCUUUAAAUGUUCAAAUCAUUGGUAAAUAUGUAGAGUGAUUCUCGACGGUCUGCAGCUGGUCCGGGUCUCUACUUAAAGAAGCCGCCGAGGGCCCCCAUCACUGCGUUGGCCCCUGAGGAACAAAGCCAAUGUUAAGAAAAGUUAAGACUGAAGCCUGGAAACAUCUACGAUGUGAUGAUGACGAUGAACCAACAAAAAUAUGAAUAUAUACAUAUGC